UACGGGAGGGGACAGCGUUGUUCGAAUUAUUGGGCGUAAAGGGCGCGUAGGCGGUUUGACAAGUCUGAUGUGAAAUCUAUGGGCUCAACCCAUAGCCUGCAUUAGAAACUGUCGGGCUUGAGUAUGGGAGAGGUGAGUGGAAUUUCCGGUGUAGCGGUGAAAUGCGUAGAUAUCGGAAGGAACACCUGUGGCGAAAGCGGCUCACUGGACCAUAACUGACGCUGAGGCGCGAAAGCUAGGGGAGCAAACAGG
rnacentral:rRNA from 1 species